ACAAUUUCUCAGUAGAUAACUUCAUAGACGGUAGCCUUCUUGUCUCCAGAUCCAGUAACUAUGUAUUUAUCAUCAACAGAGAUAUCACAGCUGAGCACAGAAGAUGACUCUUUGGACUAGGAGAGAAGAAACAGAAGUAUAAGGCUCUAUGUAUGCACACCUAUGUUCUUCCCUUGCUCCCACCCACAAUGCAUCAAGAUUUAAAUUCUAAUGCUUACUUAAUGCAAGCAAGUUUGUGACUCCAACAUCACAAGGGAGAGAAGAGGACAAGGGAAAGAGAAAGUAUGAAAAAGUGUCAAAGAACACUUCACAAAACUUAAUGCAACUUUUCAUUUUGACAAAUGCUUGCUGGCAUAAGUAAGCCACGGAGUUUCUGAAAUCAACUUUUCAAGUGAUUCUUAUGAAGUGAUUGAAAUACAAGAUUUAACUAAAAGGCCAUAACUGACAGGUCCAAAAUGCUUUAAGAAAAUAAAAGACACCUGGGAUGUGAAGUCAUGCUGCUGGAGCUGCCUUCCUUCUCUCAAGUCCCAGGAUCUGACAGUGUUGUCCAGGCCUCCCGUCCAGAGCUUGGUACCAUCAUUAGAAAUGUCAAUACAGCUGGCUCCAUCUGUGUGGCCCUGGAAUUGCCUGAUAAAACAAACCAGAUUGAAUAAUGAUUUCCUGCCAGAACUCAAGGUGCCAAAGCACAUGGAAUGAACCGCAAAUUUGGGUAAUGAGAACCAAACAUAUGUGUGCAUUGAUCUGUAAAAGGUGGAAGACUCUUUGAAAAGCUGUAAUUCACUACCACAACACCUGGAAAUAAAAAUUGAACAGAUUACCAAGCUAAACUCAAUAUACAAAAGGCAAAUUGGCUCACAGAGAAAGCCAGUUAUUUAUAGGCUUUGUGGAGCUGCCGAAUCAAGGACAUUUUUUAAAAUGCUUAAAAGAUUUGGCUACAUAAACACAAGGAGGAAGCUAUCCAGAAACACGACCUGACUAAGCCUUGCAAAACUC